rnacentral:rRNA from 1 species
UUCGUGCCUCAGUGUCAGUGUUGGUCCAGGUAGCUGCCUUCGCCAUGGAUGUUCCUCCCGAUCUCUACGCAUUUCACUGCUACACCGGGAAUUCCGCUACCCUCUACCACACUCUAGUUGUCCAGUUUCCACUGCAGUUCCCAGGUUGAGCCCAGGGCUUUCACAACAGACUUAAACAACCACCUACGCACGCUUUACGCCCAGUAAUUCCGAGUAACGCUUGCACCCUUCGUAUUACCGCGGCUGCUGGCACGAAGUUAGCCGGUGCUUAUUCUUUGGGUACCGUCAUCCCAACCAGGUAUUAGCCGGCUGGAUUUCUUUCCCAACAAAAGGGCUUUACAACCCGAAGGCCUUCUUCACCCACGCGGUAUGGCUGGAUCAGGCUUGCGCCCAUUGUCCAAUAUUCCCCACUGCUGCCUCCCGUAGGAGUCUGGACCGUGUCUCAGUUCCAGUGUGGCUGAUCAUCCUCUCA